ensembl:lncRNA
CAAUUUAAAUUAAAAAAUUGUUUAAUUUUUUUUAAAUAAAAAAAAAAACUCAUUAAAGAUGCGUAUUUAAAUUAUUGAAACAUUUUUUAAACCAAAAAAUUGUAUGUGUCAGAAGUGGGAUUUGAACCCACGCCUCCAUUCGGAGACCAGAACACUCAGAGAGGAAGGCAGUGCCUUGAGUCUGGCGCCUUAGACCACUCGGCCAUCCUGACACGACGAGUGCAGCCUGCUCUUUUAGCCUAUUCAAGUAAUAGGUUCGUUUUUAAGAGCGGUGUUGAUAAGAGACGUGAAGCCUCGGAUCUUCGAGAACAGAUGUCAGCGAUUUCCAGAGGGAAAUCUGUAGGAAAAAAGAUUCCAAGAAAACUCUGCGGAGCAGAGAUCGGUAAGACCAUAAUAGACAUAGGAACCUCGGCAUGGGGAUCCAAAGGGAUUAAAAAAAUGGCAAAAUGGAGAACAAGACUGCGGGAUCCAAAGAUGACCAAGUUUUUGUCACUGAUGAGGAAAUUCCUACAGUCAACUUUACUCAAUGGACAAAGAAAGGACUUCCAGAUUUGUCAGACUCAGAGAUAUCAACAUUGUCAGUCCUUCAGCAAAGGAAAUAUAUAUUUAAAAAGAAAGAAAGAAAGAAAGAAAGAAAGGGUAACCAGGGAGGGAUUUAAGCAAAGCUAGCUGAUGGAACAUCUCUAUUCUAGCUUCCACUUUAGAGUAGGAGAUGAUGUCCUGCUGAGAAAACAUCUGUCAAUCCUCCCCAGCAUCAUUGGAAGCCUUGGAGUUACCUGAUAUCUAAUAGAAGAUGGAAGGAACAGAGUUCUCACUUCUCAAAGGUUAUCCUCUUCCUCCCCUCCAAUCCCAUUAUCACAAAGUGGGGGAGGACUAAGGGAUUAAUUUCAGGAUUUUUUGCAUCAUACUAGAACUGUUUCUAAUCAUAGACUAAAUCAAUCAGGAAGUUUAUCAUCUUCUUGUGCCUAAAAAUCUCCAGAAUCUUCCAGGGGUUUUCCCUGAGGAUCGUCCCUGGGAUUGACUUCUAUAGGCUAAAUCAAUUAAAGCUAUUUGAGUGAUUAUGUCCCUUACUUUCCAUUUGUCUUACAAAUAUUUAUUUAUUUAUCCCUUUUCUUUCACAAUUUAGUAAAUUCUUUGAGGGACAGGAUCAUGUUAGUAAUCUUUGUAUAGAAAAUGUACUCUGAUUGACUCUGCCAGACUUAGAAUGAUAUACAUAUUCCUCAGGAUUCUAGGUAUACCUUAAAGAGUUUGCAGUGUCUUUUCUAGUGCUUGAGUAUAUUGUUGGAUCCAGUGACUGGUACCUCAAUUCCAUUUUAUCAUUUGACAUGACUUAACUUUUACAAAGGAAUUUGUCUCAGAACAAGAACAUAACAAGAAGGAAAGUACAAAUAUUUUCUAGCACUUGUGGGCACUAUCCGUUAUUCUACUUUGGGAAAUACAGGCUCACCCUUAACACAAUUUCUACAUAUUACUGGUUCUACCACUUCUAAUGGUUCUUAGAAAUUUGCUCUUCUAAACUUUCUAAACUCACAAAGGACAAAGCAUGAAAAUUAAGUUUUUUCACCUACAAUGAAUGUAAAAGAACAAAUUGGGAGACAAAAGGACCAAGGCCACAAGUAGGCCCCAGAGGGAAAAACAGCCAGGACCUCUCUCCUUAUUGCAUUGUUGACAUCCAUCAAAAUCAAACCGAGGAAUGGACAACAAGAAUGGAGGUAGUCAGCCUUCUUCCUAUUCAUCAAAUCAUCAAAUAGUUAGCUAAGUGGAACCAGUAAAUGUAUUCCAGUGCCUCUCCAAAGCACUUGGAUUACAUAUCCUCAUGUCUCUCUCUCUCUCUCUCUCUCUCUCUCUCUCUCUCUCUCUCUCUCUCUCUCUCUCUCUCUCUUUCUCUCUCUCAAGCAGCCCACCCCAUACUGUCAAAGGUGCUCUCUAUAUGUGCCAGUCCUCAUUACAUUUGUAUGUUUUCCCCAUUUUCUUUUUCCCAACUCCUACCAUUCAUAUAUUUGGCUACAGCAGUGCUUUAACACAUAAUUAAAAAUAUAUAUAUAUGCAUGUAUGGUAUAUAUAUAUUUAUACAUAUACAUAUACAUACUUAUCUACCUCCACACAUAUAUGUAUAUAUGUAUGUGUGGAAUAGAGAGAUUAGGUGAAGAAUUUACAGGAAUAUGUGAAUUCUUUGUAUUUUAUUUUCAUUAUUUCUGUGUUUUCCCUAUGACCUGUAUAAUAUGUGCAGGCCCAUAUUUACUUGAGCCUUGGUCAGCUAUAAACAUAUUUACUUAACCUGAGCUGAUGACAUUUAUCAGUAUUUGACAUUUAUCAAUAUUUAGUCUAUUAGCUUGACCCCUAUCUGUUUGAUUAAGCCUGAAAGCCUGAUUUUCUGUUUCCUAGAAAUCAGGUGAUUUUGGGGAAACAGAAACCUUCCAUUCCAAUCUCUCCAGAUAGCAACAACCAAUUAGAUGCCUCCCCUUCCCCUUCUCAGUGUUCUCUUACUUGUGAUAUAAUCUCUUGUAUAAAAGCUAUGUAGUUUUACUACUUCUUUAGCCCUCCCAUCAUGAGCUUUCUUUUGGCCUUAUCUCAUCAUAGAAUGACUCAUCCUCUGGAGGUUUUAAUAAACAACCUUUCUGCUUUCCAUGAAUGAUCUCUGAGUAGUCAUUUUGGAUAAGGGUCUUCUACAUCUCCCACAUGUAUAUAAACACAUUUGUGUGUCUUGAUACACAUACUUCC